CAAGGGCCAGGCGCGGCGACCUUGGACAGGGGCGGGCGCAGACGAGCUCCAGCUGCAGCGGGGAGCGUCACAUCCCAACAUGUACCAGACUAUUCAGGAUUGGAUGAUGGAUAUGAAUGUGAGACCGACUUCUGAAGUCCUUCCAAAAAAAUGAGCUGACACUGGAGGCUUUGGAAGAUUUGGAUGGGG